AUUGAACGCUGGCGGCAGGCCUAACACAUGCAAGUCGAGCGGCAGCGACAACAUUGAACCUUCGGGGGAUUUGUUGGGCGGCGAGCGGCGGACGGGUGAGUAAUGCCUAGGAAAUUGCCCUGAUGUGGGGGAUAACCAUUGGAAACGAUGGCUAAUACCGCAUGAUGCCUACGGGCCAAAGAGGGGGCUCUUAGGACCUCUCGCGUUAGGAUGGGCCCAGUUGGGAUUAGCUAGUUGGUGAGGUAAUGGCUCACCAAGGCGACGAUCCCUAGCUGGUUUGAGAGGAUGAUCAGCCACACUGGGACUGAGACACGGCCCAGACUCCUACGGGAGGCAGCAGUGAGGAAUAUUGCACAAUGGGCGAAAGCCUGAUGCAGCCAUGCCGCGUGAAUGAAGAAGGUUUUCGGACUGUAAAGUUCUUUCAGUGGUGAG
rnacentral:rRNA from 1 species